GGGAAUGUGGCUUAGUGGUAGAGUGCUUGCCUAGCAUGCAGGAAGCCCGGGUUCGAUUCCUCAGUACCU
rnacentral:tRNA from 1 species